AAGGAAAUGACAGAUUGGUUGUGUGUCUAACUUGAAAUUAGAUAAUGGGGGUUCGAUUCCCUCUUUUCUUG
rnacentral:tRNA from 1 species